rnacentral:lncRNA from 1 species
GAGAUCUAGGAAACCUACAUCUGUUGAUCUGGAGAACUCCCCAGCUGAGCGAGCGCUCAACCAUACACAGAUGUUACACAUCUGAAUCCUGUCUUCUGUGGUUUGCUGCUAACUUUUUGUUUUAUGGCCCCAGAAUUAUUUCAUGGCUGUCUUCAAAAACUAGAAUGUUAAGUGUGAAGAUUAAAAGUGUGGCUUGAUAAAUUAUGUGCCUAAAAUAGAAGUGUGACUAGCCCAGAGAGUGUGAAUACAUCAGAGAGUGUGAAUUCCUCAGCACUUCUGUAUUAGUGUGGUCACCUCAGUACUAUUGGUUUAUGAUCACAAAUAACCAGGAAAAAAUUUUUUGAAGGGCAUAUUGGUAAUGGGAAUAUUUCCAGUUCUUUGGUGAAGUAUUUAAGAGGGAAGCAGGGUGGGGCGUGGCGGGGCAGGGCAGUGCUACUUUCUCUUUUCUGCCUACUGUUUCAUUGCCCUCUGCUGCCUGGGGGAGCCUUUGCUUUGGUAGUGUGCAGUGUUCAUCCGUUUUGUCUCAUAACAGGUUCAGAAGAAGAGCACAGCCCUGUUUUGAAAACUCUGGAAAGAAGAGCUGCUAGGAAAUUGCCUUCCAAAAGUCUAGAAGACAUUCCAUCAGAUUCAUCAAGUGAGAAUAAAGUUUGUCCCACGGUCCACGCUUCCCCUAAGCUUACACAUGCUUGUGUGCUUGCGUGUUCUUCUGUGGUCUCACUGCAUGUUGGCAUGCACUGGAACCUCCAGUGCAGCGGUUGGUCACAGAGGAGACGAGCCCUCCCCAUGUGUGCUCAGGCGGCUCGCUCUUCAGUGUCUGCAACUUUGCUUUUAAAAUAAUUCAUGGUAUUUAAUGAUGAGAAAACUAGAUUUCCUCGAAUUGUUAGAUCCCAGUUUGAGUGUUUAAAAACACACAGGGCUGGGGAGGUGGCUUAGUGGAUAAAGUACUUGAAGUACAAGCACGACUACUAUAGUUUGUAUUCCUAGGACCAACAGAGAAGCUGGUGGGAAUGGCCACACGUCUGUAAUCCCAGCAAUGGAUGGGCAGAGACAAGGGAGCCCCAGGGCAAGCGCACUAGCUUGAGUAGCCAUGUCAGAAGAUCAUGUCAGGUUCAGACAAAGACCAUGCCUCGGUAAAUAAGGUAGAGAGUGAUCAAGGAAGACAGCCCAUGCCAACCUCUGGCAUCCUCAAGCAUGUGUGUGUAUACCUCAUGUGUGUGCACACCAACAUACAUAUACAUAUGCGAAUAUUCAUACACAGUUCUCAGUAAAAGUGUAAGUAGAGUUUUAAAGAAUCAUACUACUAGUGGUUCUAGUGAAAUUGGUACUAAUAGCAUCUAUUGAAUAUUAUGUUCAACAAAUUGUCUAAGAAUUUCUCCACAAGUACCUGCCCAUGAAAGAUGAAUUGUUGUCUCCAUUUUAUAACUGAGGAAAAUGGAAUUUAAGAGGUAAAAAUACCUUUAGUAUUACUUAGCAGACCCAAAGCUCACAAUAGACUGCUGUCCACAGUAUUCAUAAAGUGACCGUUUUACAUAUGACAGUAAAUGCCCCAUGAGAUGGAUUUAAUUAGUCCCUGACUUCAGGAGCUUUUCUUACUUGUUUGUCACUUCCUUUCUACUCACACGCUCCUUUGGUCCUGGCCAAUGACUAACAUGAAGUACUUGAUGAGCACUGUUCCACACAGGCUGUCGCUUUAACAGCUGAAGGCAGGGAGGGGUCUUUAGAUAUGGCAGAAUGUCCUCUGGGAGUUAUCUGCCAGACUAGUGGAUUUAGAAGUCACGGUCUCUGGAGUUUCGUUCCAACUGUUUCGAAGUUAUGAUCUGUCCCGGGGUCUCAGAUGGCCAUAAGAAAUUUUGUUAAAUAGAAAUUAACUGCUGCCAAACUCAACUGAUGGCUGACAUUGUCCGGCUUAGAAUGAAGUUCUAGGAAUUCACAGUUUGAGAUUUUAAACUUUAAAGUCGGGAUUUAAAUAGAAGGGAAGAAAAGCUACUUCCCCAAAACAAUUCCUAAAAUUCAGAGAUUCCCGGGGCGUGGAAGACAAUAUUCCCAACUCAGAAUGCAGGGCUAACCCUCCGGAGGAUCUGAGAAUUUCAGGGUUGGGAAGGACCCUGGAGGUCACUCGUUUUGAUUUUUCUCAGUAUCAAAAUCCCCUCUAAAGCCUCCUCAACAGGUGGCCAACCCCCAUAUCUGCCCGGAUGCUUCCAGAAAAGGCAUGUCCAGUCCUUUGUUGGACAGCUAUGAUUGUCCUUCAUUUUUGUUAGUGAUGGGCACUGAGGG